GAAGACGCAAAGCGCUCAGCUCCUGCCAUCCUUUCACAGAGGACAUGGGGCCGGGCUGUUCCUCCAGGGAAGCGGACCACCGCUGCCUGGGGAAGUGCAGCAUGGGGGCAGGAGAAUCAUCUAGAGCCUUGCUACUCAAAGUGUGGUUCAGGAACCAAAGCGUAUCAACACCUCUUGGUAUGAAGAUCUCAGCUUCACUUCAGACAAGCUAACUCAGAACCUGCAUUUUAACAAGAGAUCCACCCACCCGUGAUUUGACUGCACUUUAAAGGUUUUUACUUACAGUAUUUUAGCUGCAAGGAUUUUUCUGCUACACUGACCAAGAGAAGAGGGCCUGGGACUGAAUCUGAGAAAUCCAACAUGGAAGAAGGGGAUAGAUGAGGACGAGCUGCCCAGAAAGCUAGGAGAAAACCGGGUGGGCUUGACUCACGGAAGCCCAGAGCAAUGACCUUUUAAGGACAUAAUAUUUGUCAGUUUCUCUUAUCACGCUGACAAGCAUGUAACGAGAGCCCUCCAUAAAGAUUA